GCGUCGGUAGUGUAACGGUUCAGCACGCGCUCCCGGUGGGAGCGAAAUCUGGGUUCGAGUCCCAGCUGACACA